AUUGAACGCUGGCGGAAUGCUUUACACAUGCAAGUCGAACGGCAGCACGGACUUCGGUCUGGUGGCGAGUGGCGAACGGGUGAGUAAUGUAUCGGAACGUGCCCAGUCGUGGGGGAUAACGUAGUGAAAAUUACGCUAAUACCGCAUACGAUCUAUGGAUGAAAGCGGGGGAUCGCAAGACCUCGCGCGAUUUGAGCGGCCGAUAGCAGAUUAGGAGGUUGGGGGGGUAAAGGCCCACCAAGCCAACGAUCUGUAGCUGGUCUGAGAGGACGACCAGCCACACUGGAACUGAGACACGGUCCAGACUCCUACGGGAGGCAGCAGUGGGGAAUUUUGGACAAUGGGCGAAAGCCUGAUCCAGCCAUUCCGCGUGCAGGAUGAAGGCCCUCGGGUUGUAAACUGCUUUUGUACAGAACGAAAAGGUUUCUACUAAUACUAGGAGCUCAUGACGGUACUGUAAGAAUAAGCACCGGCUAACUACGUGCCAGCCGCCGCAGUAA
rnacentral:rRNA from 1 species